AGUUGCUUCUCUGGUGGGCAAUGAAGGUGAAAUUGGGAAGGGCGAUGAUAGUGUGAAGGCGAGUCCGGUCGAGCUCGAGACGCCGAGAAAAUAAACUGAAAGGAGUGUCUACAAAAUCGAAAAAGGUGGAAUCGGUUGACUGGAAGUGGAUAAUGGAAGAAGAUCCAAAUUUGAAAUACAAAACACAUUGUUCUCAACUAUACAGAAAAUGAUGUGUUAGAUGAUGGCUGUUAAGUUUUGAUAACUUUUGAGUUGACUAAUUUGUAAUUGUUGCAGUACAACUCUGAGCCUGAAGCUGUUGACCUUUUAAUGGAGGUUGAGGACCUUGACAUGUUGAAUGAAUAUAUAGACAAAACAAAUUUUAAGAGGACUUGCCUGUAUCUCACCAGUUCAGCUAGAUACCUUCCUGAACCGAAUGACAUGAAAGUUCUGGAUCUUGCCUAUUCAAUUUAUUUGAAGUUUGAAGAAUAUCCCAAUGCUCUUCGAAUUGCAUUGUUCAUGGAUAAGCUGCAGGUGUGACACUGGAAUUUUGUCAGUCUGUCUUUAAAAGUAUUUCUUUA